rnacentral:lncRNA from 1 species
CAUGAGGUCAGGAGUUCAAGACCAGCCUAGCCAACAUGGUGAAACCCCGUCUCUACUAAGAAUACAAAAAUUAGCUGGGCGUGGUGAUGGGCAUCUGUAAUCCCAGCUACUCGGGAGGCUGAGGCAGGAGAAUCACUUGAACCCGGGAGGCAGAGGUUGCAGUGAGCCGAGAUCGCACCCCUGCACUCCAGCCUGGGUGACAGAGCAAGACUCCAUCUCAAAAAAAAUAAAGGAAAUAUGCGUCGUUGGAUGCUGUAUGACAAUCAAGCUACUUAUAACAAACAAAAUUGAGAAUGAAGGAUUAUGAUCCAAACUCAGCUGGGCCUCCCCUCCCUGCCCCAGGAUUGUGGAGUGAGAACGUUGCAGCAGGAGAGAACAACGCAGCAAAGCACAGCAGGGGAACCGGAAAUGCUCACCUUUUGACAGGGUACUUUUAGUUCUGGGGCCUUAUCUUAAGGAUAUUCCAACAUAUACAAAAAGAUUCAUGCACAGAGAUAUGUACUUUAGUAUUAUUUACCAUAGGAAAAAAGUUGGAAACAAUACAUUUUAUGUUCUGUAAAAUGAAAGAACAGUUAAAUAAAUCAUGGCUCUAAGACGACUCCAGGGCUGUGUACGGAAGUUCAGGGACAGAAUCAGUUGAGGCUGUUCCACCUGAGCCUAAGCUUCCUCUGCUGUAUGUCGGGAAUCAGGUGGGGGCCAAGCGAGAUCACCACAGUGCAGGCCAGUGUGCAGGGCACAGGUGGGCACCAGGGAGGGGACGCCGCACAGCCCCAUGCUCUCGCCAAAAACGUGCAGCACAAUUUGGAAGAAAACAUUUCCAUCUGUUAAUAAAGAGCAAGGGCCUCUGGUCAUAAGUGACACAUGACCCUUUGCCUGAGUCUUUUUAAAUUUUUCCAUAUGUUCCAUAUUUUCUACACCAAAU